ensembl:lncRNA
GGAGGACACCCGGGGCCCCACAAUUAAUACCCCGCGCCGGCUCGCCGCGCCGGGAUUCUCGUGCCGGUUGUCCGGGAAGGAGGCGCUAGGUCAGCUCUGAGGCCGCAGAUAGCUUUACUCCCAACGCUGCGUCCAUCCGGAGUGGAGCAUACCUCCCCGCGUACUCUUGGAGAGCGAGCGGGGCUGCGACCCUGAGAUCCAGCGCUGUCGUGCGUUCCCCAGGCCGCCGGGACCUUGCCACAGGCACUGGGGCGGCAGGUGAGCGAAGGCGGCUGCGCAGGAGAGCGAGAGAGCUCAGGUAGAUAACUUGGAGGACCAGGAAGCUGAAGCAGCAACGAUGAGGGUGUCUGCGUCUGAAGCCAUGAUUUAACUGUUAAGGUGAGUCUUUGUGGCGGAAACACGCAUUUUGGAAAUAGCACACACAGGGCUGGCUUCUUUUCUGUGAACAGAUGGAGGCACACAGUGAAGGGUGGUCCCGAGAAGUGUAAGCCACUCCUGGGGUAAGCAUGUGUCUCCAACUUACAGGGGCACGGAGUUCCCAGCAUUCCUGUGUCCUGCUGUCCCAGCUGGGACUGCCAGGAAAGGGAAGUCAAAGGACUUCUCAGUGGUUCUUUCUGAGCUGAGCUGUGGUCCUCAAAAAGCUUUGACUGCCUCUAACUUAAAGAUUUAGGUUUUAAGAUAAACGCAUAGUAUAGCCCAGGCUGGCUCCAAACUCAUGAUCCUCCUGCCUCACUCAGUGUCUUGACAUUCCAAC